UAAGUUUGAUGGCGACCGGCGCACGGGUGAGUAACACGUAUCCAACCUGCCGAUGACUCGGGGAUAGCCUUUCGAAAGAAAGAUUAAUACCCGAUGGCAUAGUUCUUCCGCAUGGUAGAACUAUUAAAGAAUUUCGGUCAUCGAUGGGGAUGCGUUCCAUUAGGUUGUUGGCGGGGUAACGGCCCACCAAGCCUUCGAUGGAUAGGGGUUCUGAGAGGAAGGUCCCCCACAUUGGAACUGAGACACGGUCCAAACUCCUACGGGAGGCAGCAUG
rnacentral:rRNA from 1 species